AUUGAACGCUGGCGGAAUGCUUUACACAUGCAAGUCGAACGGUAGAGGGGGCAACCCCCUUGAGAGUGGCGAACGGGUGAGUAAUAUAUCGGAACGUGCCCAGUCGUGGGGGAUAACGUAGCGAAAGUUACGCUAAUACCGCAUACGAUCUACGGAUGAAAGCGGGGGAUCGCAAGACCUCGCGCGAUUGGAGCGGCCGAUAUCAGAUUAGGUAGUUGGUGGGGUAAAGGCUCACCAAGCCAACGAUCUGUAGCUGGUCUGAGAGGACGACCAGCCACACUGGAACUGAGACACGGUCCAGACUCCUACGGAGGCAGCAGUGGGGAAUUUUGGACAAUGGACGCAAGUCUGAUCCAGCCAUUCCGCGUGCAGGAUGAAGGCCCUCGGGUUGUAAACUGCUUUGUACGGAACGAAAAGGUUUUCNCUUAAUACGAGGAGCUCAUGACGGUACCUAAGAAUAAGCACGGCUAACUACGUGCCAGCAGCC
rnacentral:rRNA from 1 species